GAACUUUGGCAGGCCUGUGUGGGCACUGGGUUGCUUAACUAUUCACCCUAUGAUUCAGGAAGCUGAGAUGGGGUGGGGAAGGUGAUUGGCUACGGUGGGAGAGGCCCCAAGUUCCCCCAUACUCUGGGGUGACCAUGGGAUUCAAUUGUGGUUCUUUGUGUCCAGGGAACAGAAACCAACUCCAGCUGACCUAGGCAAAGGGGGCAUUUGUUGGAUGAAUAUGGGGUAGAUUAGUGAAUCUAAGGAAAACUACACCCCCAAGCUGGAGAGGAUGAGAGACAGCUCCAGGCGUAUUGGGAAGAGAAGCUGGACAGGAGAAAAGGCAACCGGUGCUCACCAGCCCCUGCUAAAUUCCUCGCCAACCCUGGUCUAAUGCUCAAGGUCUUUGUACUGCAGCCAUUGAACCUAAGACCUGGGCCCAGUCCUGGUGCCACCUUCAGUGGCUGUGUGACUUUAGGCAGGUCCGUUCCCCUCUCCAAGCUCAGUGUCCUCAGCUUGGGUUGUGAGAGUCUAAUGCCAUAGAGGAUAUGCUUGGUACAGUGGAAAGUUCUAUGCCCUAGAGAGAGGCUGUCACUGCUUGGUGUGUGUAUUAACUUCCUGUGGCUACGGUCACAAAUUAGCACAAAUGAAGUAGCUUCUAACAAUGCAAAUUUAUUCCCAUACAUUCUGGAGGUCAAAUGUCUGAAAUCAGUCAGCCUGGGCUAAAAUCAAGGAGUCAGCAGGGCUGGUUUUUCUGGAGGCUCAGGAGGGAAAUCCACUGGGGGCCCUUUCCAGCUUCUAGAGGCCACUUGUGUUCCUUGGAUUGUGGCCCCUUCCUUCAUGUUCAAAACAACAGCAUAGCUUCACCACACACCACAAUCAUUUCACCCAUCGGCUUCUGUUGUAACAGCACUUUGCUUCUGUCUGUCCUCCUGCCUCCUCUCUAAGGACCCUGAGAUUCAAUUUAGAGCCCACUUGGAUAAUCCAGCUCGGGAUCAUUUCCUUACUCACAUCCGCACAGCCCUGUCUGCAUAUGCACAGCCCUGUUUGCGUAUGCAUGACCCUGUUUGCAUAUGCGUGAAUCUGUUUGCAUAUGCACGACCCUGAUUGCAUGUGCACAGUUCCGGGCAUCAGUGUGUGGACACUUUUGGGAGGCUGGCAGUCAGUGCCCCACAGCGUGGCCUGUGCCCAGGGACGGCUUGAUGUGGGGCAAAGAGCCUCGGUGGACACACCUGGGUUGACAUUUUGACCCCCCAUUCAAUGCCAGUGGGGCACCCCUGGAUGAGUCAUUUGAUCUCUCUGGAGCUCUUCAUCCAGGAGAUGGACAUGAUAGUUCCUGCUCCUCAGGGCUGCGGAAACUGAAUGAGACCAUACAGCUGUUUGUAAAUGUGUCUUUCAGUGGCAGAGACUUCCUUUUCAUCAGAAUCUGGUGAGGAAUCUCCUAACACACAGAGGUGAUGGAAGCACAGCUGCUGGGACUGGUGGACUCCCCACCUUCCCCACACAGUGCC
rnacentral:lncRNA from 1 species